rnacentral:rRNA from 1 species
AUGAGGAAUAUUGCACAAUGGGCGAAAGCCUGAUGCAGCGACGCCGCGUGGGUGAGGAAGUUCUUCGGAAUGUAAAGCCCUUUUAUCGGGGACGAUCCAAGACGGUACCCGAUGAAUAAGCCCCGGCUAACUACGUGCCAGCAGCCGCGGUAAUACGUAGGGGGCAAGCGUUGUCCGGAUUUACUGGGCGUAAAGAGCGCGUAGGCGGACGUUUAAGUGUGGCCUGAAAGCCCCCGGCUCAACCGGGGAUCCGGGUUGCAAACUGGACGUCUUGAGGGGGAUAGGGGAAGGUGGAAUUCCUGGUGUAGCGGUGAAAUGCGUAGAGAUCAGGAGGAACACCCGUGGCGAAGGCGGCCUUCUGGGUCCGCCCUGACGCUGAGGCGCGAAAGCGUGGGGAGCGAACGGGAUUAGAAACCCGAGUAGUCC